ACGUAUGGUGCAAGCGUUAUCCGGAUUUACUGGGUGUAAAGGGAGCGUAGACGGAGAGGUAAGUCUGAUGUGAAAACCCGGGGCUCAACCCCGGGACUGCAUUGGAAACUGUUUUUCUAGAGUGUCGGAGAGGUAAGUGGAAUUCCUAGUGUAGCGGUGAAAUGCGUAGAUAUUAGGAGGAACACCAGUGGCGAAGGCGGCUUACUGGACGAUGACUGACGUUGAGGCUCGAAAGCGUGGGGAGCAAACAG
rnacentral:rRNA from 1 species